CCAAUAGCGUAUAUUAAAGUUGUUGCAGUUAAAAAGCUCGUAGUUGAAUUUCGGGAUUGGCGCAUCGGUCGUGCCUUACGGGGUAUGAACUGGUGCAGUCAAUUUCUCACCUUCUGGAGAACCGCGAUGUCCUUAAUUGGGUGCCGCGGGGAACCAGGACCUUUACUUUGAAUAAAUUAGAGUGUUUAAAGCAGGCAUUUUUGCUUGAAUACAUUAGCAUGGAAUAAUAAAAUAGGACGGCAUGGUUCUUUUUUGUUGGUUUCUAGGACAACCGUAAUGAUUAAUAGGGAUGGUUGGGGGCAUUAGUAUUCAAUUGUCAGAGGUGAAAUUCUUGGAUUUAUUGAAGACUAACUACUGCGAAAGCAUUUGCCAAGGAUGUUUUCAUUAAUCAAGAACGAAAGUUAGGGGAUCGAAGACGAUCAGAUACCGUCGUAGUCUUAACCAUAAACUAUGCCGACUAGGAAUCAGACGAUGUUAAUUUUUUAAUGACUCGUUUGGCACCUUACG
rnacentral:misc_RNA from 1 species